GCGACGUCACGCUCCAGGAAACUUUUACCGUCACACGUUCUGCUACGUAGCCAUCUGUCGACCACUUCUCUCUCCUCGCUCUAUCUCCCCUCCCCCGCUGCUUCACUCCUCCAAUCUUCCAUCGCCGCCGGCGGAUAUCCACCGAAACCCUAGCAAACGACUCAUCGAUCGAUCUGACGAUCUCCAAGCCCUAACCAUGUCCUCCGUUUUCUUCUCAUCUCUUCUUCAGACGGAAAUCCUCUUCCCCCGGCCCGCUGCCGCCGGCUGCCUCAGGCACCACCGCCCAUCGCAUCGCCUCCGCUUCCGGAGGACUCGUCUUCACCUCGUUCCGAGUUCGGCUUAUAAAGAUAGAGUUUCGGUCACUGACGUCUCUGGUGAGUUGGAUCGGUACGUGGGAAAUGGGAACGGCCGCGGCGGUGGACUAGAGUACACGGAGGUCACGAAUGGGAGCGUUGAGGUGAUGUUGAAUGUGAAUGAUGCGAAAAAUGGGAAUUUGGUGAGGUACAGUGGUGGUAACGGAGCGGUGGCGGUGGAAGUGGACGAGGGUUCUGCGGAGACGGAGAGGAAAAAGAGAGUCGAGGAGAUAGGGAAGGAGGAUGCUUGGUUCAAGAAGGGAGGGGAGAAGCCCCAGGUCUCUGUCACUCCUGGAGGCCGUUGGAACAGAUUUAAAACUUAUUCUACAGUACAAAGAACUUUGGAGAUAUGGAGUUUUGUUUUUGCAUUUAUCUUUAAAUAUUGGCUUAACAACCAGAAAUUCUCUUAUCGAGGGGGAAUGACAGAGGCAAAAAAGGUUCUAAGGCAAAAAGCCCUUGCUAAGUGGCUGAAGGAAGGUCUUUUGAGAUUAGGUCCCACAUUCAUCAAAAUAGGGCAGCAAUUUUCUACACGGGUAGAUAUUCUUCCACAAGAGUAUGUUGAUCAAUUGUCUGAACUUCAGGACCAAGUUCCUCCAUUCCCUACAGACAUUGCUGUCUCAAUUAUUGAAGAGGAACUUGGAGCUCCUCUGGAUGAUGUAUUUGACCAAUUUGAGUAUGAGCCAAUAGCCGCUGCAAGUCUUGGUCAAGUGCACCGAGCAAAAUUGAAGGGCCAAGAAGUUGCGAUUAAAGUACAAAGGCCAGGUCUCAAGGAUCUAUUUGAUAUUGAUCUGAAGAAUCUGAGGGUCAUAGCUGAAUAUCUUCAGAAGUUGGACCCGGCAUCAGAUGGUGCCAAGAGAGACUGGGUUGCUAUCUAUGAUGAAUGUGCCAGUGUCCUUUACCAGGAAAUAGAUUACACUAAAGAAGCAGAGAAUGCUGAACAGUUCUCUGAAAACUUCAAGGAUAUGGAUUAUAUUAAAGUUCCCAAAAUAUACUGGGAGUACACCACGCCACAGGUACUCACAAUGGAAUUUGUUCCUGGAAUAAAGAUAAAUAGAAUAAAGCAAUUAGAUCAGUUGGGUGUUGACCGGAAAAGGUUGGGCCGAUAUGCUGUUGAGUCUUAUCUUGAACAGAUUUUGUCCCAUGGUUUUUUUCAUGCUGAUCCGCAUCCUGGGAAUAUCGCUGUGGAUGAUGUGAAUGGUGGGAGGCUCAUAUUUUAUGACUUUGGAAUGAUGGGAAGCAUUAGUCCUAAUAUUAGGGAAGGGCUACUUGAAACAUUCUAUGGAGUUUAUGAGAAAGAUCCAGACCGGGUGCUUCAAGCAAUGAUUCAAAUGGGUGUUCUUGUUCCCACAGGUGACAUGACAGCUGUCAGGAGAACAGCUCAGUUCUUUCUUAAUAGUUUUGAGGAGCGCCUUGCAGCACAAAGGAAAGAGCGGGAGAUGGCCAUCACUGAACUUGGGUUCAAAAAACAAUUGACCAAAGAAGAAAGAUUUGAGAAGAAGAAACAGAGGCUAGCAGCAAUAGGUGAGGAUCUUUUAGCGAUUGCUGCUGAUCAACCUUUCCGUUUUCCAGCCACUUUCACUUUCGUUGUUAGAGCAUUUUCAGUACUUGAUGGGAUAGGAAAGGGCCUUGACCCCAGAUUUGACAUUACUGAGAUUGCCAAACCAUAUGCCAUGGAAUUACUUAGGUUCCAAGACGUUGGCUUUGAAGUAAUUCUCAAGGACAUCAAGAAAAGAUGGGACAGACAAUCAAAAGCAUUCUACAACUUGUUUAGACAAGCUGAUAGAGUAGAGAAAUUGGCUCAAAUAGUUCAAAGAUUGGAGCAAGGUGACCUCAAGCUUCGUGUGAGAACUCUUGAAUCUGAGAGAGCAUUUCAGAGAGUUGCUGUUGUGCAGAAAACUAUUGGAAAUGGUAUCGCCAUGGGAAGUCUAGUAAACCUUGCAACAAUUUUGCAUUUCAAUUCCGUCCGGGUGCCGGCUAUGAUAGCAUACAUGCUGUUCGCCUUCUUUGGAUUGCAAGUCCUUUUAGGCAUCUUCAAAAUAAAAAAAUUGGACCAACAAGAGCGAUUGAUAACCGGCACUGCUUGACAUAUGAGUUCGACCCACUGCAACAACUUCCCUCGCAUUCUUGGUUUCACUAUCUCCCCCCUUGUCUGAGAUAAAGAUAGAGCUGACAAAGUCAAUUGAUUCAAAUGGGAUUUGACUUUGGUAUAUAUAUCUAUAAAAGGAGAAGUGACAGUUUCUGGCGGAUUGUUUAAGCUGCUGAUACAAUCAUAUCGAAUGUUGAUAUACCAGAAGGAUACAUUGACAUAUGAAGGUGGUAGUCAAGGAGGCAUUCUGCAUGGAUUACCUCCUCGUGGCCAUUGUUCGAGAAAGGCUGCUCACGUCCAACAGAGUUUCCAACGUUUCAUGAGAAAGAGACACAACCCUAAGCACCAUUGAAGCCCCACUACUGAAAUUCUCAUUCCAUUUGUAUUUUGAAUCACUUACAGUGUCUUGAUAGUUCUAUACUUAGCUCAUGAAGGAUGAAGUGGGCAUUGAUCGAUCAAGUCGAAUAAUGCCUCGUCUAGACCAAAUCCAAGCAUUCUUGCCA